CAGCCGCCACGGUAAUACGUAGGGUGCAAGCGUUAUCCGGAAUUAUUGGGCGUAAAGAGCUCGUAGGCGGUUUGUCGCGUCUGCUGUGAAAACUGGAGGCUCAACCUCCAGCCUGCAGUGGGUACGGGCAGACUAGAGUGCGGUAGGGGAGAUUGGAAUUCCUGGUGUAGCGGUGGAAUGCGCAGAUAUCAGGAGGAACACCGAUGGCGAAGGCAGAUCUCUGGGCCGUAACUGACGCUGAGGAGCGAAAGCGUGGGGAGCGAACAGGAUUAGAUACCCGCGUAGUCCCUGUCUCUUAUAA
rnacentral:rRNA from 1 species